ACGCAUUCUAGAGCCUAAUUCAUCUCAAUUAAAAAUUAAAAUUACAUUCAAAUCCACAUUCAAAAUUUCAUUUCUCAAAUCAAUCCUUAAAUAAAUUUACUGUAAUCCAUCUCUCCUUAUAUAAGCUGCACCUUGAUCUGAUUUACCACUUAAUUAAAUAUCAAAAUCAUAUAUUUCUAAAAAUGAUUAACAACGACGAUAUACAAGCAAAAUCUAAGUUAUAUUAAUCGUGGACUAUCGAUUACAGGACAGAUUCCCCUGAUUGGAAUAAAAAACCGCCAAAUUUUUUGAUUUUAAAGAACAUAACUAAUAUUAAUCAAGUAUAAUAAUCCACGCCUAGAAUAAUGGGGUAUCUAAUCCCAGUCUAUCAACUAGAUUUCUCAGCCUCAUAAUCAAAAAAUAAAUUAAGUAAAAAAUAAGAUUUCACCCAAUAUCCCAUUAAAGUAAAAAAUUAACUUCUAUUAACUGAAUAUAACCGGAAAAAAACAGUAGUAUUAUUUGUUUAACCGCA
rnacentral:rRNA from 1 species